UGGAGGUUUGUACCCUAUCUGGAGAGGAAUGUUGCUGUUGCUGCAGUGAUGCCUGUGCCUGAGGAGGUCGUGAGCUGUUACAGCAACCCCAGGCUGUGACCCUGCCUGCCCCGAGGGCCCAGGGCCAGAGCUGUGCCAGCACCACGGACUUGUCUGCCAGAAUACAGCAGUGGUCUGACUGCUUUGGAACAAGGCUGCAGAGAUGCCAUGGAUCCAGAUACAUCAGACCUCAGCUACCAAGAUCAAUCCCAAGCAACAUUGAGACAAGAGGCAGAAAGGUCUCCAGACUAAUGCAUCAUGACACCUCGAUUACAGGAAGUGUGGCUGGCUUCUCCUGCCUCCUCUCUUCUAGCUAGGCUGUGCAUUCCACCCACUCCCCUCUGGCUGCUCUGCCUUGGCCGGGCUCUGCUCUCCUAACUGCCUGCUCACCACAGCUGGACCUGCAAGGCUGGACUGCCACUGAAGCCAUCCUGAGCCUCAUGACUGUCCGAGUCCAAGUCCCUGAGGAGAACUGCUGAGUUUGGACACUCCCAGACAGAGGCAAAAUUCCUUAGCUCAUCUCCAUGCAAACAUGAUUAUUGCCAUUAAAUACACACUGUGAUACACAAUGUCUCUGCAAUGCUCCCUGAUGAGCCCAUGCACCAAACCUAAUGGCUGCUGCUGUAACCAAACACUGAACUUGGCUGUGGAGGCACCACUGUGAGCUCGGCUCCCACCACUGAUGAGUGGUCCGUGAAGCAGCCUAAUGAUUUUCUAGGGGUCUGAGAUCAUGGUAACACCAUGAGAGUCGCACAGAAAAAGAGAUAUCUCCUUCCCUUCCCUCCCACUCCCUGCAAGGCUCAUUUUGCAAACUGCAGCUGCUGAAAAUGGAAAGCCAGCUAGAGCAGCACCACUCCGACGAUGUUAUGGAACUGGGAUGCUGCAACAGAAAUCUGCAGGUGGAGGAUGAACAUGCUGGGCUUCCAAAGCACUGGGUUUCAGUGGACUUACCCUCCCAUUUGUGAGACAAUAGACUGAGGAGCCGGUGGCACCACUGCUCUGUGGAUAUGGUGACAAUGCCCUGUCUCCUGCCAGCACCACCAGGUACAUCUGUGGCCACAUCCUGCUGGUGCAGCUGAUGGUUGCCACCCUGCAGCACUCUAUGGCUGUCCCCAGGCUUGGCUCAA